rnacentral:rRNA from 1 species
UACGGAGGGGUUAGCGUUGUUCGGAAUUACUGGGCGUAAAGCGUACGUAGGCGGAUCAGAAAGUUGGGGGUGAAAUCCCGGGGCUCAACCCGGAACUGCCUCCAAAACUCUGGUCUUGAGUUCGAGAGAGGUGAGUGGAAUUCCGAGUGUAGAGGUGAAUUCGUAGAUAUUCGGAGGAACACCAGUGGCGAAGGCGGCUCACUGGCUCGAUACUGACGCUGAGGUACGAAAGUGUGGGAGCAAACAGGAUUAGAUACCCUGUAGUC